GGGCCGGUGGUCUAGUAGCUAUGACGUCGCCCUUACAAGGCGGAGGUCCCAGGUGCAAAUCCUGGCCGGCCCA
rnacentral:tRNA from 1 species